rnacentral:lncRNA from 1 species
CCACCUCAAAUCUUAUUUCUCCAUCCACCUUAUAUUUACACCCAGCAUAAAAAAAACAAAACACGCAUAAACUCUUUUCCCACCCACCGUUACUCCCAAAAUAAUCCUAUAUAUUUCUUCUUCUAAUUUUCCUUGCUUUAAACAAAUAUACCCAACAACUCCAACUCCAAAUAUCAUAGUAGCCCCCUUCCCAGAACCGUCACUAUCAACACACCCAAAUCCCCAACCCCUCUCCCCAAAACACAUCCAGCGCCCCUCCUCACCCAAAAUCCUCGAUCGGCCUCAACGGUGAUAACGCUGAUAACAAACUAUGAAGAAGAACUUAUGAAGAACUCAAGAAAGCUUUCGACGAGAGAGAAUGUAGAGAGAGAAACUGUAUUAUCAUUAUAUCCAACUAUUACAUCAUACAUCCUUAUAAAUACAAUGACACAUAACUGACUUCUAGAGUUCCCAAUACAAUUGUGACACCUGGCAAUGUAAAACAAUACUAAUCUUUUAUCCUAACAUUCCCCCUCAAUUUUAUGCUGGCCAUUGGCUAGCAUAAGAUUGUUACAAUGAGAACUAAACAAAGGAAAACAGAGACCCUUUGUAAGAAUAUCAGCAAACUGUUCAGAUGAGUUAACAAAUUGCAACAUAAUGGUGCCUUGCUGCACUCUUUCCCGCACAAAAUGACAGUCUAUUUCUAUGUGUUUAGCUUUAGAAUGGAGAAUGGGAUUGGUUGCUAAAGCCAUGGCUGAUAUAUUGUCACAAUGGAGUAAAGGAGUUGUGGAAGGAGAUAAAGAUAGAUCCUGAAGUAACUGCUGAAUCCACACAACUUCAGCAGUGGUAGUUGCCAUUGCGCGAUAUUCUGCCUCAGUUGAAGAACGACUAACUGUAUGCUGUUUCUUGGAACUCCAGGAAAUUGGAUUAUCACCUAAAAAUACAACAAAACCAGUGGUUGACCGUCGAUCAUUGGGAUCCCCAGCCCAAUCAGCAUCUGUGUAAGCUCUUAUAUCCAAAUUACCAGGUUGAAAACACAAACCAAGAUGCAGAGAACCUUUGAGAUACCGCAGUAUGCGUUUGACAGCAACAAAGUGACUGUCAAGAGGAGAAUGCAUAAACUGACAUACCUGAUUGACAGAAUAUGCUAUAUCAGGGCGAGUGAAAGUCAAAUACUGUAAUGCCCCGACGAUACUUCUAUAAAGACCGGGAUCAUGGAAUGGAGGACUACCAUGAUUUAAGAGCUUUUGAUGUGGAUGACAGGGAGUGGUACAUGGCUUACUGUCAAACAUAUGUACCUUAUGCAGCAAGUCCCUGAUAUAUUUGGACUGAUGAACUAACAAUCCCUGAGGUUGAUACUCAAUUUGCAGCCCAAGAAAGUAGUGGAGGACCCCUAAGUCCUUCAUAUCGAACUCCCUGGUUAAUUGACUGAUCACAGACUGAACAUGUACAUCAUCAUCACCACUGAGUAUAAUAUCGUCAACAUAUAACAGCAACACAACAAGGGAAGGACCAUCACGUUUUACAUAUAAGGAAAGAUCGGCAUAAGAGGAUGUGAAGCCCAAACUGAGAAGGAAGCUCGAGAACCUUGCAUUCCAAGCACGAGGGGCUUGUUUGAGGCCAUACAAAGACCUUUCUAAUUUGCAAACAAAAUCUGGAUGAUCCUUGUCAAUAAACCCUUGUGGUUGAGACAUAUACACUUCUUCAUCUAGAAAACCAUGCAGAAACGCAUUUUUAACAUCUAAUUGCUUAAGUUUCCAGCCCUUUGUUGCAGCCAAUGAGAGCAUUAACCUAACAGUAGUAGGCUUAACCACGGGGCUGAACGUUUCAUAGUAAUCAAGGCCGGCUUCUUGAGAGAACCCCUUGGCCACUAAACGAGCCUUAUACCGAGCCACAGAUCCAUCAGGAUUUCUUUUGACUUUAUAUAUCCAUUUACAACCCACCAAGUUCUUAUGAGAUGGGAGAGGAACAAGAGUCCAUGUAUGCUGUUUAAUAAGAGCAUCCAUCUCUUCUGUCAUUGCUUGUCUCCACUGAGAUGAUCGAGCAGCAAUACUAAAAGACUGAGGUUCCUUGACAUCUUCGUGAACAACAGCAGAAAAAACCUUCUUUUUGAAAAUCCCUGACUUGGACCUUGUUUUCAUAGGAUGAGUAUUAGAACUGACUACAUAAACAUGUUGCAAAUCUGGAACUUGAGAACUUGUUACAUCAGGAUGAGACUCGGACAGCAACAAUGAAGAUGCAGAACGUGAAGCAGAAUUGUCUCCAGUAGGACCAAGAUCACCAAGUUGCUGAAAAUCGGACAGAGUAACUGAUGGGUGAGAAGAUAUGUGUGGAAAUGGUAUUGGAAUAAAUGGAGGAUGAGAAAAGGUAGUAGGAGGAGCUAGUGAAACUGGAAUUGAUGCAGAAGAGACAGUAGAACUGAAGGAUGAAGAAGACAGACCAUAUGUACUAGGGAAGACAGAUUCAUCAAACAAAACAUGCCUAGAGACAAUUAGUUUAUUAUCACUUAUAGCAUAACAAAUAUACCCCUUAUAUUGAGCAGCAUACCCCAAAAAUAUACACAUAGUGGUCUUAGGAUCAAGUUUAUUGGUUCGAUAAGGUUUUAAGGAAGGGUAACAAGCACAACCAAAAACCCUCAAGUGAUCAAGUGUAGGUGGGGAUUUAUACAACACUUCAAAUGGAGAGUGCAUCUUCAACACGGAAGUAGGUAGUCUAUUAACAAGAUAUGUACUUGUGGCACAUGCAUGAAACCAAAACUUAGAUGAAAGAGAGGCUUUUUGAAGUAAUGUAACAGCAGUUUCAACAAGAUGCCUAUUUUUCCUUUCGGCUAAACCAUUUUGCUCAGGAGUGUAUAGACAAGAUUUUUGAUGGACAAUGCCUUUGGUGGUGAGAAAGUUUUGAAAUCGAGUACUAACAUAUUCCCCUCCCCCAUCACUUUGCAAAACUUUGACAGUUGCAGAAAAAUAAUUUUGAAUAUAGGCAUGAAACUGAACAAAAAAUCUCAAAGACAGCAGCUUUAUUAUUCAUGGGAAAAAUCCAUGUAUAUCUGGUACAUUCGUCAAUAAACGACACAUAAUAGCUAUACCCUUCUAUAGACUUGGUAGGAGAUGGACCCCAUACAUCUGUGUGAAUGACCUCAAGUGGAACAAAAGAUUUGGAAGCCAUUACAGGAAAAAAAGGUAACUUGGUGAACUUGCCUUGGAGACAAGCAGUACAAGUUUGAGAUGGGGAAUUACAAGAGGAAGUAAUAGCUGACUUACUAAGAGCUACUUGUAGAACAGAAUUGGUGGGAUGACCCAAUCGACAAUGCCAAAGAGAAUCAUUUAUUUUCUGUCCAAGAAAAGCUGCAGGAUUAGUCUUUGGUGGUUUGAGAAGUGGAAGAGGAUAGACAGCUUGGUUACUCAGUCCUUGAUAGAGAACCUUGUUGGUGACCUUGUCCUGUAUACACACAGAAAACUCAUCAACAAUACACCUACAAUUGUUGUCUUUGCAUAAUUGAUACAUAGACAGUAAGUGCUGUGACAAUUGUGGAACAUGUAACACAGAAUUUAACUCGAGUGUAUGAGAAGGAGUGGAUAAGCAAGCUUGACCAAUAUAAGAAAUUUGUAAACCUUCACCAUUAGCACCAAUCACAGUUUCUGAUGAAGCAUAUGGAGUAACAGCUUGCAGAUUUGACAAAUCAGAUGUCAUAUGAUUAGUUGCUCCCGAAUCCAGCAACCAAUACUCAUGUGUGGGGGCGGAUGGUGAGAAAUUAGUGCGUGCAGUAAAAGCAGCCUGCGAAUUAUUGGGAGGAGACAUCAUUCCAUUAGGAUACUGUGAUGAAGACAUCAUAGUAGGAUGCUGCACGGGAGAUGAAAAUGAAGGUGAAGAGUGAGGAUGGGGCUGCAACUGUGAAGAAUUCUGAGAAUAUGAAUGCUGCGGAAACAUCAUAGGAGAUGAGGAGAAAGUAGACAUAGGCAGAGAUCCAGUAUUGUUCCUGUCAAAGCAAGUGGCAGCUGUGUGCCCUUUUCUGUGGCAGAUUUGGCAGCCAUUCUGAAAGCAGUUCAAAGCUACAUGGCCCUUUUUAUCACAUAUUUGACAAAUCAGCAGUGGUUGAAAAGAUUGUCCCGAAGCCAUUUGAGAUCCAGAAUUCUGAAACUGAGACUGUGACGGAAGAAAGGGUUGAGCAAAGUGUUGAUGUCCAGAAGGUUGUUGAAAACCAGUGUUAAACCUUUUCCCUUUACCCUUGUUUCGAUAGUUAGUCCCCCUGAAAUUGUUGUAAGUUCUAGAACCAGUCUGAGAAACAAAAGCAACAUGACCAUUGGGAAAUGGCAAUUGUUGAAACUGAGCCAUUGGUGAAAAUGAAGAACCACCAGUAUAUGGACCAGUAUGAGAACCCAGAUCAAAGUUUCCAGUAUAUGGACGAGAAUUGGAAGAUCCACCAGUUUCAUAAGUUGUGUUGGAAGCAUUAGCAAACAUAGCUGCCAUUAAAUGUGGUUGUUUAAGACCUUCUUCCAAAGUAGACUCAUCUGCCUUCAAUUGAGACCGAAGUUCCUUCAAGGAGACCAAACUUUCUCUGCCCCGAAUCACAGACUUAAUGGUAUUGUAGUCUGUAGGUAAUCCUCUUAAAGCCACAAUCACAAUAUCUUCAUCAGAAAUCACAACACCAGCAAUAGCUAACUGAUCCCUACAUUCUUUAAUCCUCUGCAAGUAAGCAUCAAUCGAUUCUGACCCCUUCUUAAUGUUCUGCAGAUCAAUCUUCAGUUGAACAAUACUAGUGCGAGACAUAUGAGCAAAUCUUUCUUUCAAAUGAUUCCACAUAUCACUGGAGCUUCGACAUCCAAUAACACAAGAUAAAGCAGCAGUAGAUAGUGUGGCAGUUAUCAAGGUCAUAAGAGCUUUAUCAUGAAUUUGCCAAACUUGAUAGGCAUCAGUCAGUGGAGAAUUAUGUACAAUCGACUCAUCAUCAGACUCCAACUCAGUAUAUUUCUGAGGACAAGGAAUUGUGCCAUCAAGAAAUCCCAUAAUUCCAUUCCCUUCUAGUAACAAAGAAAUCUGGAAAUUCCAAGUAACAUAAUUGGAAUCAUCCAAUUUCACAGUCACCGUGUUUCCAACACUAGGUAUAAGCGACGAAAUUGGAGAUUGAGUGAGGGCUAAUUGUGCAGCCGUAACCAUAAUGCAAGAACAAGAAUCAAUAGAUCAAGAAAGCAACAGAGAAACUGAAGGAUUUAUUUUGAAAAACAUGUUCAUUUGAAUAACAUCUAUAGCAUGCAAUUAACAAAUUAAAGGCGGAAUCAUGCUUGUAUGCAUUCAAAAACAAAACAUUACCCAUGAAAUUCAAAGCCUAGUAUUGGUGAACCAAUAAUCAACUCAAAACAAAGUGAGUUGAAAUUAAUACCUUUGUAGAUUCCUCUUUGCAUAAGCAAAGGCUAAUCACCCAAAGAGAUAGGGCCUUCAUUCCUUGCUUCUUAGAUCCAUGGAUUUGGAUGGAAGAAUAGGUUCUCCAAGUUCCCAAAAUUGAGAACCUCUAAGUCUCUUCACCAAGGUUUGAUUGUAGAAGAAAUGAGUGACCUUGGAGUAGUAGGAUUGCUAGAUGUACCCUCCAAGGUGUUGGCCUCUUUAGAGAGAAAAUGGAGAGACAAUUCUCACCCAUUUUCACCCAAAAUAAACCCUUAAUCACAUUAAUGAAUAUUUGGCUAUAAAGUUCUUUAUAUAGUCACUUCUUUAAGUGACCUAAACAACCAAAACCCUAAUUCAUCACCAUAUGGCCGGCCACCUAAGGAAUUUUGGGCUUUUGGGCUUUAAUGAAUCUUUAUUCAUUAAAUUGUCAUACAACUUAAGUUAAUGGGCUUGACGUUCGAAGCCCAUUGGGCCUUAAGGUCCAAAACUAUCCCGAGGUCUUUAACGAACUUAUUCGUUUGAUUAAUUAACAUAUUAAUUAAUCCUUGCCAUAAAUAAAUGAUUAAACCAUUUAAUCAUUCUUACUCAUUUCCGUUUAAUCUUCAAUCUCCACCUUUUAUGGUGUGCGAUCCAUUAGGUUCCUUUUAGCGAGGCAGUGGGCGAUUAAAACAAUUUUACAUCGAUUGUGAAUUGAAACAAUUUUCAAUUCUCCCUUUAGUGGUUAUACACGUAUAGGGCUUCCACAAACCAUGGUUGACGCCUAGCAGCAUGUCAUGGUUACCCAAGCUAAUCAGAAGAGGUUAGAGAACCUAUUCAGUUCGGGAUUACAAAUGCAAUACGGUCCUUCUCUAAUCUAAUACUCUUGACCACAUUGUUUGGUAUGAUAGUUUAUUUACUCAUGUCUACUAUCCAAUGUGAAUCGUUUGCUUAUAUGAUUUCCUUGAAUGUGAUUUGGAACGCAUUCCCCAAUCUCAUUCAUACUCUGGCCAGAGAUUCCAAAUCAUAUCAUAAAGUAUUCUCCCUCAACUGUUUGAAGGUUAGAGAUCCCUUGUUGCGCAUUUACUUGUCUCCAUAGCUAAGUGGCUUAACCCCAACGAUGCCGUGACACCCCUAGGGGGUGAAUUAGACAUAAUCAAAGAUUAAGGACUUAACCACAAGACAACUGUGAUGCCUCAGGUCAAAUGACUACUUUGCAUUAUCCCAACCAUGAGUUCUCAUGUGACAUGGAAUAUAAGAACUCUUCGUUGAUCACGUUCAGUGAACUCAUUCUCUUAUUGAGCACCUACGUACUUGUCUUGAUGUCACACACACCAAUGACUCGAGACUAGUCACUCUCCCUGAGAGAAGACACAGUACGUACUGAUCUUAACGGACUGUCAAUGCCCAAUUGGUAAUCCUAUGAUCAGGAACAUUUAGGAUGUGUCUACGAAAGAAUGGUCUCAUUAAUCUAACUUCAUUAGAUUGCAUUCUCCCAAUCACAUAUUCCUUGGACUUUAUCGUUUAAGCAUAUAACAUUUAUAUGAGACGGCUCAAACAAUAAUCUUUGCCCUUUAUAUGUUAAACUAGAUUAGUUUAACAUUUGAAAUGUCCGUAAAGUAUCAUCAUAUGAUUGGUUUUAGGGCACAUUUCCAACAGAAACACCUCAAGAAUCACUCAGCAAGAAGUACCACAAAACAAUAAUUGUGAUAGACAAAAUCUUGCAAAUAUCAAUACGGAGAAAUCGAAAGAAAACACCUCAAGAUGAUCACGACGGCAGCUGCAAAGAUCAACGAACAAAUCAACCGUUGACGACUACAGAACAAACAACCAACAAGAAGAAACUCCACCGACUUAGAGCACCAGACUACACGAAUCACGACACGGCAGUAGCUGCACAGAACGACGAACAGAUCAACAGUCUCCAAUGGCAGAACGAACAACCGACAAGAAGAAAUGCCACCGACUUAGGGUUUGAGAAAUCAACACUUCUCUGAAAUUGCGAACAACCAGUAAGGAUCCGAUGUCGGUCACCGGAACAACCACGACCACGACGACUACGACUACGACGACGACGACGACGAGCGGAAGCACAGGAAUCGUUAAUCACAGGUGUUAACCAUGGCAGGCGAAGAUACCAUGAUAACGCUGAUAACAAACUAUGAAGAAGAACUUAUGAAGAACUCAAGAAAGCUUUCGACGAGAGAGAAUGUAGAGAGAGAAACUGUAUUAUCAUUAUAUCCAACUAUUACAUCAUACAUCCUUAUAAAUACAAUGACACAUAACUGACUUCUAGAGUUCCCAAUACAAUUGUGACACCUGGCAAUGUAAAACAAUACUAAUCUUUUAUCCUAACAAACGGCGCGUUUGUGGAAUUGGGAGAUGGUUUUCGAGUCCCCAUUUGAUCGAGUCGGAGGAGGAUCGCAAAGGAGAUCAAUGGACGGGAUGGGCUUGCCAUUUGAGCACAGCCUCGACGUGUUUGGCAAAGGUCUCAGCCAUGGCGAGCGAGACGAUCGGUGAGAAAGCCAAUGCAUAACAGAAAGGGAGAGGAGAAAUAGAGGGGGGAGGAAGAAGGAUGAGUGUUUGGGGUUGAAGCAGUGAGGUGGGAAAUUAAAAUGGGGUGAAGUUGUGGAAGCUGAGGUCGGGGAGGGUGAUGGUUAUGAGGUUUUUCAGGUUUUAUGUUUUUUCAUGUUCAAAAAAGCUUUAAGUCCAGCUGUAUAAUAAUUGCAUAUGUGUUAACUUUUGGGUGGAAGUUAUGUCUAUGGUAAUACUGUAACUGUAUUACCGCCUUUCUUUAAUAAUUUAGGAAAAUGAAGGAUCCUUUCCUUGGAGAUCCCGAGAAUCCCGUGAUCGGGAUCAGUCAUCGUACAUUAUAUGGUCAGAAAUUAUUUUAAAAUUUUAAAAUUUAAAAUUAAAUAUAAAAUAGUACUUAAUGAAAAUUGACAGCACAAUGUACGAUAAACGGUCACGAUUACAGAAUUCCCAAGAAAAGGAUCCAGCGAGGAUCAUUUUCCAAUAAUUUAGAGUAAUGCUAGGGAGACUAAAUUUUAAAAACUAAAUAACAUGUAAGUUCAUGAUUAAUUUAUUACUUAAGGGUUGAUAAACGUGCUCAUUUCUAUUGAUGACACAUCAUUUAGUUUGCUAAUUUAAUCUCUUUAGCAUUACUCAAUAAUUUAUCCUAAUUGUGGAGGUGAAGGGGGUUGUGGCAAGAUAUGAUUGAUUGGUCUUUUAAGUAAAAUGAUUUUAUACAAAGACAAAUUUGUCAAUAAAAAUACUAUUUCAAAGUGGGUGAAGAGAUAAAACAUUGGAAUAAGCUUAGUAGUACUUAUUUUGAUUGGUGACACAUUUACAAAUUGGAUAAGUUGAUUUCCUUAGUAUUACUAGUUAACCCUUUUUAGUUUUUCCCGAAC